rnacentral:lncRNA from 1 species
AAACAAAAAGACCCUUUUCAACAUUCAUUGUAAAGUUCAGCUUCUCUUGGAGAGCAUCAAACGCUGCUGUGGCUGUGAGAAGGAAGGUGAAAUAGAACUGGCAGAUGAGAAUGGCCAAGUGAAGAAUUUGCUCCAGAAUCAGGACCAGUACGCAUCACAGCUCCUGAGUGAGAGGGAGUUUUGUGUUUUACUCAAAGUCACACGUAUGUACAUUUGCAAAUCUCUACAUUGGAGAUGCUUUUGUUUUCCGUUGUAGCUAAAGAAAUACCCCCACACAGGUGAAGGUUGAAAGUUGAAGAGGAUUUUCACCCUGGAUUCUCAGCUUGAGUCUCUGUGCAUCCUUAGCUCCACUCAGAGACAGUGGGACCUAAUGAUGUUGAAAUUAGGGCUGCUUUUGAAAACGGUGUAGUGGAAGUCAGGAUUCCCUCCAUGUGUGACAGAGAUUCCCUCACAGUCCCAGUUCUACCUGCAGGAAAUGUCCUUCUGAAAGUUUCUGGGUUUAAUACUGUGUUUCUAUUCCUCACAGGACAUGAAGGUUCCCAAGAAGCUGUUUUUACACCACUGCUGAAAGAUCACAGCAUCGUCACUCCAAAGUUCUUGGCUAAAUUGGGGAAGAGGGAAGAUUCAAAAGUAUCACCUACCAGAGUGAAAUCCAGAAAAUAUGGCAAACAAGCAACCUUGCCUUUGGAAGUUCCACCCACAGAAGGUAAAAGGAGUCAUUCACCACAGGGCAACAAGAAUAAAACUGUGGCUUCCUCUUCCAAAGAAACUGGGAAAUUCUAAUCAUGGCAAAUCAAAGGAGUUGCUUGGUACUGAGUUUUGGAGGCUAUCUCUAGGCAUGUUAGUUUAUUCCUUGAUGAAACACACAAUUUGUUGGGUUUUUUUCCAAAAGUGUGAAGUAGUAAAUGCCUCGUUUCUUUGAGAAAAGAAUAGUCUCACUGAAAUAGUUGAUCAGUGAGUCACUUUGAAGCCAGGUACAUGUUUAAUAACUUUGCCAAAUGAAGCCUUGGUUCUUGCAGACACUGGGCUGUUGUUGAAUCACGGAAAUUGGCAGAAGGACAAGCUGCAAUGCCGGGUUGGUUCAUCUUUAACUCAGUAGUUUUACUUUUGGAAUUAUUGAAGUAGUCAAUUAACACAUCCAUAGUACUUUCAUCUCAACUUUUACCUGACCAGCUUCUUUAAAUAACUUUGUAGCUCCUUGGGUGGGUCGUAUCUUACACGGACUGGACCCUGGUCCGUCUUUCACAUACCUGUUGAAUCAUCAGUCCUCCUGAUUUGUUGUGCUAAGUACUUGUAUAUGUACAGCACAAUGAGGAACGUAUUAAAGCUGCAUAUAAAGUUUUAGAUAAUCUUGUAAAAGCUAUAGAUGAGUCUUUCUUUUUCAAGGUUCCUCUUAAAAAAAUAAAAAAGGGCUGUAAAAUCUAAUCA